rnacentral:rRNA from 1 species
UACGAACCGUGCGAACGUUGUUCGGAAUCACUGGGCUUAAAGGGCGCGUAGGCGGGUUUCCAAGUCUGUGGUGAAAUCCUCCAGCUUAACUGGAGAAGUGCCGUGGAUACUGGAGACCUCGAGGAGGGUAGGGGCAUCUGGAACAGCCGGUGGAGCGGUGAAAUGCGUUGAUAUCGGCUGGAACUCCGAUGGCGAAAGCAAGGUGCUGGACCCUAUCUGACGCUGAGGCGCGAAAGCCAGGGGAGCGAACGGG